rnacentral:sRNA from 1 species
GCAGCGGGACAGGGCGAAGCGGCCUGCGCCCACGGAGCGCGCGACACUGCCCGGAAGGGACCGCCACCCUUGCCCCCUCAGCUGCCCACUCGUGAUUUCCAGCGGCCUCCGCGCGCGCACGGGUAAGCUUGAUGAUUACCAGGAACGAAUGAACAAAGGGGAAAGGCUUAAUCAAGAUCAGCUGGAUGCCGUUUCUAAGUACCAGGAAGUCACAAAUAAUUUGGAGUUUGCAAAAGAAUUACAGAGGAGUUUCAUGGCACUAAGUCAAGAUAUUCAGAAAACAAUAAAGAAGACAGCACGUCGGGAGCAGCUUAUGAGAGAAGAAGCUGAACAGAAACGUUUAAAAACUGUACUUGAGCUACAGUAUGUUUUGGACAAAUUGGGAGAUGAUGAAGUGCGGACUGACCUGAAACAAGGUUUGAAUGGAGUGCCAAUAUUGUCCGAAGAGGAGUUGUCAUUGUUGGAUGAAUUCUAUAAGCUAGUAGACCCUGAACGGGACAUGAGCUUGAGGUUGAAUGAACAGUAUGAACAUGCCUCCAUUCACCUGUGGGACCUGCUGGAAGGGAAGGAAAAA